rfam:Megasphaera genomosp. type_1 str. 28L contig00013, whole genome shotgun sequence.
CGGCCCGUAUCACGGAACGGGACCGUAUGAACAGGGAGAGUAUGUGAAAAAGUACGACUUGUAUCUAUAAAAGAACGAGAACGGAGG